rnacentral:lncRNA from 1 species
CAGCAACACAGGAUCUGAGCCGCAUCUGCAACCUACACCACAGCUCACAGCAAUGCCAGAUCCUAAACCCACUGAGCAAGGCCAGGGAUCGAACCCACAACCUCAUGGUUCCUAGUCAGAUUCAUUUCCACUGCGCCAUGACAGGAUCUCCAAGGCUGCAAUUUUAAAUAGACAGGUUAGGGAAGGUGCAAAAAAGAUGUAAUAUGUGAUGAAGACCUAAAGGUGUCAGGGAGGGGACCGUGCAGAUAUCUUCGGGAAGAGUGUUUCAGGCAGAGCACCAGCAAAAGCGAUGGCUCUAAGUCCGGAGCAGGCCUGAUGUGCUUGAGGAGGAGCAAGGUGGCCACCGUGACUGUCAUGAGGGGGUAGGAGAAGAGGGUGAGGAAGGUAAUCGAGGCCAGACUGUGGGGGACCUAGAGGUCACCGUGGGGCUUGGUCUUCACUUGGAGAGAGAGAGAAAGCCACUGGAGGGCUUGGAGCAAAGAAAUAACACAAUCUGGCUUCCAACGAGUGCGCAGCGAAUGUGCUGAGGGGGAGCAAGGAGACCAGUGAGGAGACAGCAGUGAUGCCCAAAUGAAAGAGAAUGGGGUUGGGAUGAAAGACAGUUAAAGUGACUGGAAUAUGAAUACAUUUUAUAUAGGACUGGACAUGGGGCGCCAAUGAAAAAGAUUCUCAGGGUUUUGGCCUGGACAGUGGGAGGGAUGGUGUGGCUAUUGACCAUGAGAAAGAACCCUGCAGCAUGAAGAGAUGGGCGGAACGCAAUAGCUCCAAGUCCAUCCUGAGGUACGUUUAAGACAUUCACAUGGAGCUCUCCGGUGAGUGGUUGAAUAAACUCAUCUGGAAGUCAGGAGAGAGGUUUAGACCACAGAUAUAAAUUUGGAAGUCAUCACCACACUCUAGAUCAAGGGAUGACAAACUUUUGCUCUACAAGGCUUGGUAGUAAAUAUCGUUGGCUUGGCAGGCCACAUGUGACCUCCCUUGCAUACUCUUGUGUAAAAGGCAUCUUUAGCUCGUGGCAGCAAGCUGGAUUUGGCUCCUGACUGCAAGUCUGCAGACCUUGCUACAGAGGAUUUUUAAGACCCUCAGUAUGGAUGAGAGCAUGAGAGCACUAAGGGAGUGAGUGCAAAGAGGAAAGAGAAGAUGUCCAUGUACUGAAUUGGGAACACUCCACAGUUAGAGCAUGACGGUGACAGAGAGGAGCCAACAACAAGAUGCAGGAAGGGCAAUCCGUGAUGUAGGAGGAAAGCUAGGAGAGUGCGGUGGCCUGAAAGCCUGGUGGAGCAUGGCUGCUGAUCACAAUCAGCUGGGAACAGAGACAUGGCCAUUUCGUUUAACAGCGUGGAGUCGUUUGCGACCUCCUGAUCAGAAUGUGCACGAGGAGAAAUGGGAAAAGAGUAACUGAAGUCAGCAAACGCAGACAAAUCUUUUGAGGAGUCUUACUAGGACGGGUAAAAACAGAAUGGGAUGCCAGCCAGAGGGGAAGAAAAAUCAAGAAAGUUUAUUUUUAAGAUGGGAUGAAUAAAAUCAUAUUGGUGUGCUGAUAGAACAGUCCAGUAGAGAGACGGAAACGGAUAUGUAGGAGAGAGGGGGUGGCAUUCCUGGAAUGGUGUCACUGAGCGGACAAGAAGAGAGGGCACUGAGUGUGUAAGUGGAGGAGUGGCCCUGAGCCAGUUCUUCCAAAGUAACAAAAGAGAAGGUAGUGUAUGCAUGGACAAAGACGCAGGUAAGCAGGUGGAGGUGAACUUGGAGAAGGUUUCUUCUAAGUGUUCAUAUUUUCACAAAACAAUGGCUCCUUAAGCAGGACAAAUGAAAAGAAAUCCAUACUGAAAUACUUCACAGUGAAAACGCAAGUUGAAAAAAAAGGAAAAUAACAAAAUCUUUUGAAAAAGCCCUAUAAAAAGAAAAGAUAGGUUUCCUAUGUUCAGCUUUCAGCAGCAAUGCUAGAAGCCAGAUGACAAUGAGGUAUCCUCCAAGUGAGAUACCCAAUUAAAUUUUCACAUUGAGUAAGGGCCAACUACUCAGACAUUUUUAGAUAAUGACUCACCUAGGCUGUUCAUAGCCACCGACGGAUGUACUUUGGUUAAGAAAGAAGAACCAGGAAGGAAGAAGUGGACAGUGAGCAAGGACACUAAAUAAGCCUAAAUACUAGGAAUUCUUGGAGUUUUAAAAACAAGGUGGAUACAAAACACCACCUUGGUCUCAGUACCAUGGAAGAGGGAGGAACAAUCAGGAUGAGAGCAGUAUGAGCCCUGAUGAAGAGGGAUAAUGAUAAACCUCAGAUUUUCUUAAGUCAAAUAUGCAUGUUACAAAGUGAAGGAUGGGUGCUGGUACAAGUGAAGAUCUACAUGGAAACGAGUGAGCCUGGAUCCCUUCCUUAGACCAUACACAAAAAUCAACCCAAAAACUUAUGAUAGGUAUAAAUGUAAGGACUGCAACAAUGAAAUUCAGAAAAAAACACAGAAAAGAAUCUUGGUGAACUUGGGUUAGGGAAAGUCUUCCUUAGAAAUGAUACCAAAAAUACAAGUGACAAAAGAAAACUAGGUCAAUUGGACAUCACCAAAAUUAAAAAUGUUUGAGCUACAGAUGAUACCAUCCAAGAGAGCAAAAGACAAGCCAGAGAACAGGAAAAAAUAUAUGCAAAUCAUAUAUCUGAUAUGAGCCUUGUAUCCAAAAUAUAUAAAGAAUGUUUACAGGUCAAUAGUAAAAUGAUAGGGAGUUCCCCUUGUGGCUCAGUGGGUUAAGAACCCGACUAGUAUCCUUGAGGAGUUGGUUUGGAUUCCGGGCCUGGCCAAGAUGUGACGGAGGUCUCAGAUGCAGCUCAGAUCUGGUGUUGCUUUGACUGUGGUGUGGCAUCACAGCUGCAGCUCUGAUUCAACCUCUAGCCUGGGAACUUCCAUAUGCCACUGGUAGGGCCCCCAAAAGACCAAAAGACAAAGAAUAAAACGCAAUGAAAAUAGCAUUAGCAGAAGUUCAGGAAAAUGGCCCUUCCCCCUUCUGCUGAUAAACAUGUUAAGUCUGUGCAAAUUUGAAGAAGGAAUCUUUUUGGUUUGGGGGAUGCACCCGCGACAUAUGGAUGUUCCUGGGCCAGGGACUGAAUCAGCUGUGAUCCACGCCACAGCUAUAGUAACACCAGAUCCUUAACACACUGUGCCACAGCAGGAACUCCUGAAGAGGGAAUUUUGACAGUAUGUAGCAAAAGUUUUUCAAACAUUCCCAUUCUUGGAUGAAGCAAUAACCCUCUUCUGAGAAAAGACUCUAGGAAAAUACUCAUGUGUGUGUACAAGACUCAUGCACACUGAUAUUUGCUACAGUCCCUAACAAACAUGCACAAAUAUACAUAAAUACAUAAAUAUUCAUGGUGAAAUCGAAUGUCUAUUAGUUGAACAUAAUUCUCAAAGGUACUGUGCAGUUAAUUUAACUAAUGCACUGGAGAAAGAGAUGGUCUUAGGUGCCUAGGAAUCUGAUGAAAGUUGAGUACCCUCUGAAGAAAGGCAGAUGCACAUAAUACAGAAAAGAAUUAGUAGACAAUGCCAGUGGGUCCCAGAGUACUUAAAAUACAGACAUUUUAUUAGGAAUGAAAACCCAGCCAACUAACUUCUAAUUCUCCUCCAAACGCCUCUUCCACUUUUCUAUGGCCUGGCCUCUCCAUCCUCCCCAGCCUGGUAUAGGCAUCCCUUCCUUAUACAAAUCUGUACCCUGAUGCUGUAUCACUUUCUAUUGUGACUGUGUGCUUGUUUCAUGUCUUUCCCACAAGCCUCUUUGAGAUUAGAGUGCACCACUCAAUUGGCUUCCUAGCCCCAGCACAGCGCAAGGCCAGGCUCAGGCAGAAAUAAGCAUUUGAACCAGAUGAACAUUCCUGCAGGAAGGUGUUGCAUCCUUCCCACUAUGAGUGUCAACAACCAAAUGGGACUGUAGACACACCCUGGCCUCAGCAGACUGUCUUUUGAAACAGGCAAGAUUUUAAAUGCAGCCUUAAUCUCAAAAAAUGAGACGAAACAUACACUAUGUGGAAGUGGCAAAUGAGGCACAUGAGAAGCAAGGCUCCAACUUCCUGGGUGACUCAGCCCAGUGCUCAGCCCUCACAGCCUUGGCAGAAAUGUCACAGUCAAAUUAGCAGCCGCUUGUUUUCAUUCCCGAGGACAAGCUCUCCAAUCUUUCUUGAAGUUUCUGCCCUUCCCUUCCCUUCCCGUUAUUCCCUAUUUCCAUCAAGCCGAGCCCUUGAAUGCAUUUCCCCGCCAGCUAUUUCAGGAGCCUGUUCCCCCUGGAGCUGGCGACA